AAGGUCAAAUAGUACAUGAAAUUGUUAAAAGAGAAACGAUUGAAGUCAGUCGUACUGACGAGUAAUCAGCCUUUUGGGUGCGAUUAUGUGGUACAUGGAAAGAUUUCAUGAUCGCAUAUUUGUGCAUUUUUGGUGUACUUGCUCGUAUGGUAGGUUAACAUCAAUUUUGAUCAUCAUAAAAUGACAGGAGGAAUGUGGCUUCUCCGGAAGUGUUAUAGAUGUGAUGAUUGGGAUUGAGGAUUGCAACAGAUACUCUUUGGGCUACUCGUCUGAUCUCUGGUUGUCUCUUUGAUGCCAAAAGCUUGCUUAUGGUUUCAAAGUAGGUGGUCAAAAGGUUAGAACAGGUUAAAUUCAUUAAGGAUGUUGAUGUAAUGGCUUUAAAUGA
rnacentral:misc_RNA from 1 species